UCUGUUCCAUAGGUUAUGAUAGCAUUAAAAUGUGAAGAAUACACCAUUCACAUAGCAUCAUCUGUUACUGGGCAUUUAAUGUUUCUGAUGGCACAUAUAGCUGAACUUAGCUUGUCAGAGUUAGCAACAUAGUCUUUCAAAAGUAAAUAGUCAUCUAUGGGGAGGCCUAAGAAAUUUGUGAAUUGAACUACAUUCCUAUUCAGUUCUUGCAGUUGUGGCAGAUCCUCUAUUCUCCUUCUGCUAUUGUUCCUAAAUAGUAUUGUUUUAGUUUUCUCUUUAUUGAGACUUAGCCUGUUGAUUCCAAGCCACUGAGUUAUAGAUUCAUGUAUCAAUUUCCUUUUUCUUACAGCCUCAUUUACAUUUGCACAAAUGGUUAUGCUAGUGGUAUCAUCUGCAAAAAGAAUCAUUUGGCUUUCAAUAUUAAGAGGUAUGAUUUAUUGGUACUAAGAGCUGUUCCUCUUAUCCUGCAGUGAUCAACUUUUUGAAAUAUCAUGGUCAACUAGGUUUAAAGCUUUUGAUAAGUCACAAAAUAUACCAAGAGGAUUUUUGCCUUGAUCUAAUGCCUCUGAGAUUACAUUUUUGCAUUUGUAGGAACAUUAGCAUCACUUGCCAGAGAAAAUGAUUUGCAGUCUUGUAUCUGAUAGUUGAUGAUAACAGUUCAGUUUGCUCAAUGACCUGGGUGUGUUAUGUUGCAUAUUCUUGUAUGUAUCAAGUUUCUCUAAAAUAAAGUGUGCCAUGUACCCCAUA